AUUGAACGCUGGCGGCAGGCCUAACACAUGCAAGUCGAGCGGAGCGGCCGACGGGUGAGUAAUGCCUAGGAAUCUGCCUGGUCGUUGGGGAUAACGUCCGGAAACGGGCGCUAAUACCGCACACUAUCAGCUGAGCCUAGGCCGGAUUAGCUAGUUGGUGGGGGAAAGGCCUACCAAGGCGACGAUCCGUAACUGGUCUGAGAGGAUGAUCGGCCACACUGGGACUGAGACACGGCCCAGACUCCUACGGGAGGCAGCAGUAGGGAAUCUUCGGCAAUGGGCGAAAGUCUGACCGAGCCAUGCCGCGUGUGUGAAGAAGGUCUUCGGAUUGUAAAGCACUUUAAGUUGGGAGGCGUUACCAACAGAAUAAGCACCGGCUAACUUCGUGCCAGCAGCCGCGGUAAUUC
rnacentral:rRNA from 1 species